AAACUGCCUCUGCCAUCUUCUGUUUAAUUAACAUAGGUAUACCAAUUUAAUGCAAUUAAGCAAGAUAGGAGGGGACAAUGACAGAGUUAGCAUUGCUGUGGCAUAAGAAGGGCUGCAAAAUGAGAGUGAUGGCCGUGAGGAAGAGCAAGCUGGCUGCAGUUUUGGGAGGUUUAUGCAGAUGUAUUGAAAUUUAGGGGCAGCUGAUUUUUCAUGUGGCCAAGUGUUUAUCUGCCCCUGCCCUUUCCUUUACCCUCUCAGACCUUGCAGGGUAAUCCCCAGAGUGGCAACAACUUUUAAAGCGAUUCCUCUUUCUUCUAACAGAUUCCUGAUGCUAAAGGUCUGACCUUAAAAUGAGCAGUGCAUAGGGCAAGAGUGGGUACUGCAGUGAGCUUCUGGCCUUCAACCCUGCCAAAUACAGCUAUUUUGGUAACCAGAACAGUAUAUUCGUGAUGGGUGAGGGAACAGAGCCUUUCAGUGCAGGCUUCUCAGCAUAUUAACUCUGUCAGUGCUGGAUUCUGGGUCCCUGUGAAGGUUGCCUGUGCCUGUUUAAGACCAUAAAUGCCGAUUUGCAGAAGUCUGUAGCAUUCUGUGACUUCGUGGUUGUGCCUUAGUGCCUGGUGCACCCAAAACCUGGACUGAAUCCUGUGGAUUUCCACGUGGAUCUGGGAAGGACUGUAAUCACAUGCAGCUGGGAGUAGCUCAGACUUGGAUUUCUUGUUGGCAGGAGAGGCACAGCCUGGUUUGCCACAAUGCAACUGUCCUCAUUAAUGUUCUUCAGGGCCUGAUGUACUGGGACCGCCAUGGUUGGGUCAGAAGAUGGCUGAGUUUUCCAGGCUCAUUCUCUUGUCUUCAGAAUGUUAAAUUGGGUGAUAAUGAGUAGUAACUGUGUUCUUUUUUUAUGGUGAAGUUGACACUUGCCUUCUAGUAAACAGACACAGAGAUGACCCUCCUCAUUUCACACAGGUCACCAAACAGCCCUGGAAUGGUAGGGGUUAUUGGCCAUUUACCAAACUCUGUUUGACUUGGGUUCAUGGGUGAGAGAUGAAAGGCUCUAUAUUGCAUUACCAAUCCCUGGGGCCAGCCAGUCUCCCCAAAGAAGCAUUUCAUUUAGCAAGGCAACUGCUGGCCCAUGGGAAUUGGAGACUUGGGAAAAAGAGGAUGCAGUUUCAAUUGCGAAUGUUUCCUCAGGGCAGAUGUCUUAAAGCCACACAGAAACUCACUGCUUCAGUGUCACAAUAGUUGCUCCAGGACACUUAAUGACCAGCAGAUUUUGCCCUUUAAUUAAUCUCCCCUUUUCCCCAAGAAAACAUCCGUUAGGUUCCUUGUGGUGUUUCUGCCUCUGUCCUGAUCUUUUGUCCAUCUCCCUGGGGCAAGACCAUUGCAGCAGUUGUGAACUGUUACCUUUUCCAAGAGCUUCAAAAUUGAAACAGAUGAAGCAAGGAGCCCUGGUUACAUGCUUAGAGGUGUUGGGCUCUUGGGAGGAGAGAUGAGUACUUUUGAAGUGUCAAAUAUUUUCCUUACCCUAAAGCAAAGAUGCUGACUGAUCUUUUUGGUUAUAGUAGAGUGGUCAUUGCUAUUGGGGUAGUCCAAGUGCUGACUUUUUACAGAUUAUGGAUGCAGUGAUUGAUGGCUGCAGGAAGAAGAAUAUUUGAUUCAGAACAAGAAUUCAACCCAGACUUGUCCUGAUUUUCCUAUGAUCUGAAAUUCCAGUGUUGUUCCAAAUUCAUUAUCACUGAUUAAAAUCCUCUUUCAGUUUCCUCCCUUUCUGUUUGUGAUGUGAGUCAUGAGACAUCCAGAAGUUGCAUUUGUUGUUUGAUAGUUUUACAUCAUGGUUGUAAUAGUGCAUCUGCCAAGUCAGCAGGUUCUUUUCUGUAUUUGUUUAUUUGUUUACCACUCCAUUUCCAGCAAGUUCUUGUUACCCAGUUCCUGCUGACAACAGAGGAAGAGGCGCAAGUCAGCUCAGAAAAUGAACGACUAGAAGGUAAGUGAAAAGAAUAGUAAACACAGGCCAUUCAUGUAACAGGACCCAAUUCAUUUUUGUGCCAGGGAGAUUUUUUAAAUGGGACUUCUCCCAGUGGAGAGCUCACAAUGCUCAAGGCCUGUUUCACUAUAAAGACAAUACAUAAUUAUUCCGGGCUUAUUAUUAUUUUUUAUCUCUCUUUUUCCAGUUGCAGGGAUGAGAUCAGGACCCAGUUUAUUGCUGUGCAGACUGUGCAGCACACGGGGCUGCAGGACCCUGUGGAGGCAGGCUGGGGACACAAGUUGGACUUGGAAGAAGAAACUUCCAUGCAGAGAUGUGACUGCAGUGUGAACACUGUGCCAGGGUAAGAGAAGUUUUGUUUAAUUUGGGGAGUAUACAAUAUGUAAAGUCCUUACAAAGUCUGUUGUUCAUCCCAGCCUAGUUAAACUGCAUUUGACCACUACUUAUUCAAUCCAGUAAAGUGUACCUGAGUACCACAGCAACACCUGCUCUAUUUAGAUAUUAAGAUUAUUUUGUCAGUUCAGCCCUUUAGGAUUUAGCAUUUAAUUAAUAAAGGAUUCUAUAACACAUGCCUAGUUGAGCUCUCUCUCAAAUUCCUGAUGAUUUGGGUGAUUUUCUGUAGCCAAUUUAUAUUUUAAUUAGUUGUAACACUUCUUUACUUUCUAUUUUGAACAGCAGAGACUUAAAAAAUAAAAAGCUAAAAAAUGA